AACGCACGAGACCUGCGGACCUGCGGAGGGAUCAUUACAGAGUGCCCCUGGCUCUGCCAACCCCGUGAACGAUACUUUGUUGCCUCGGCGGUCAGUGGGUUAGCCCCCACGCCGCCGCAGGCCCCAUUAUACUCUGUUAGCAGCCGCCGUCAGUCUGACUUUUGAUUUUUAAAUUAUAUAAAAACUUUUAGCAACGGAUCUCU
rnacentral:misc_RNA from 1 species